rnacentral:tRNA from 1 species
GGGAAAGUGGCUCAGUGGUAGAGUGCUUGCCUUAUAUACAUGAGGUCCUAGGUUUGAUUCCUAGCACCA